GUGUGUCCAAGCUAUGCUUACGCGGAUCUGAAAACGCUCCAUUCUAUUUUCUGUUUAAAGACCAUUGGGAUUCUCGGUUUUGUCGGAUUUAUAUACACCUUCAAAAAUGUGAAGGCUGAAUGUCAUUGGCUUAUGUAAUAUUUACUAGAACAGAAAGUAUCAAAGGACUGAAGUACUGAACAUCGGAUGACCACAAGUUCUCGUUGAUGGUAACACGCACUUGUCUUAAAGAAAAUCACAUCACAAUACCUGAAAGUGAGGUUAACUUACAGAGACAUAUUUUUUCUGAG
rnacentral:lncRNA from 1 species